GUCAGGUUGGCCGAGCGGUCGAAGGCGCCAGACUUAAGAGAUUGACGAGUCUUCUGGUCCACAUUUGUGGGCGUGGGUUCAAAUCCCACACCUGACA
rnacentral:tRNA from 1 species